GCACGAAGGUUGGCUAAUCCUGGUCGGACAUCAGGAGGUUAGUGCAAUGGCAUAAGCCAGCUUGACUGCGAGCGUGACGGCGCGAGCAGGUGCGAAAGCAGGUCAUAGUGAUCCGGUGGUUCUGAAUGGAAGGGCCAUCGCUCAACGGAUAAAAGGUACUCCGGGGAUAACAGGCUGAUACCGCCCAAGAGUUCAUAUCGACGGCGGUGUUUGGCACCUCGAUGUCGGCUCAUCACAUCCUGGGGCUGAAGUAGGUCCCAAGGGUAUGGCUGUUCGCCAUUUAAAGUGGUACGCGAGCUGGGUUUAGAACGUCGUGAGACAGUUCGGUCCCUAUCUGCCGUGGGCGCUGGAGAACUGAGGGGGGCUGCUCCUAGUACGAGAGGACCGGAGUGGACGCAUCACUGGUGUUCGGGUUGUCAUGCCAAUGGCACUGCCCGGUAGCUAAAUGCGGAAGAGAUAAGUGCUGAAAGCAUCUAAGCACGAAACUUGCCCCGA
rnacentral:rRNA from 1 species